GACAGGCACACUGACACAUUCUUGUAAUCCCAGCUACUCAGGAGGCUGAAGCAAGAGGAUCACUUGAGCCCAGGAAUUUGGGGCUAGCCAAGGCAACACAGUGAGACCCAGUCUCUU
rnacentral:sRNA from 1 species